ensembl:miRNA Mir1949 microRNA 1949
GGGAGAAAAGCAGCCAAUAGCUGGUUGGCAUUCUGGGCCUGGUUCAUGCCAACUCUGUUGUUAACUAUACCAGGAUGUCAGCAUAGUUGCUUACCCA